AACUACUGUGUGAUGUCGCGUUGCAGUUUUGUUUUUGUUUUUUGAGCUGAUGAGCAAGCUACACAUUAUCAGAUCAAGAGCUGUCUGAGAACUACUCAAAGAGAGGGAAACAGAGAGUGUGCAGCGUUUCCAUGAGCAGUUUUUCUGCACCUUGACUCGUGUGUGUGUGUAGCAUCAGCAUCAUGUUUUUGUUUAUUUGUUUUGUUGGAUUAAAAAUAAUUAAAUAAACUGGUGAUCAUGCUUAUGGAUCACCAUGGCACAUAUCUCCAGCCAUAUGGUUUAUUUAUGCAGAUGAAAAAGUGAGUGUGAAUGUGUCUGACAUCACAGUGUUUUUGUGCGCUGUGUAAAAGUAAUUGCCUUUGAUUGUGAGUGAGAGCGGUGAUUCUGCAGGUCACCAGCUAUUGUAACGAAAAAAAAAGAAAAAAAAGAGUGAAAAAGAAAAAUCAUAGGAAAAAGGUUUUGUGUUGAUCAGCCAAAAACAACUACAAUUUCAUUUUCUGCUUUUAAGAAAAGACUGUUCACAAAAACACAGAGAGAGAGAGAGAUGUGUUGAUUAAGCAGUGAUGAUAAUAAUGAAAUGUCUUAGUUUGUCACUUUCAGGUGAAAAGCAGACCUGUAUCAAUUUUCCACAUGCAGCAGUCGGAAGAAAGUUAUAGUUUAACAUCAUUGGAAACAUGCAGGCCAAGUUUCUGGCUGACUUAUUUACAGCGCCAUGUGUCUCUCAACCUCACAAGCAAGCAAGCUCUCACCCCUCCCUGAAGACAAGGAAUGCAGCUCCAAAGCAAUAACAUGAUAAAGAGACAGCAGCAAGUCCUGAGCAAAGAGUCCCAGCAAAGCAGCAGCAAUGUGGACAAACAGUAUCAGAGAAGAAGAGCAAACCCAUCAUCCUGACUGAUCGGAUGGAUGGCACUGUGUUUACAACAGGCUGUGACUUCACUGUGCAUGUGAAGAAAACGUUUGAGGAGAACUGAACAGUUGGAGUUUGACAUUUGCCACCUGUGGAGUAAAAUGGCAAGAAGAGACAGUGGAACACAGGACAAAGCUGAAGGAGAACUGCCGGCUGUUUGGACUGUUGAAGUGGGAGAGGACAAAAGAGUGAGAGGACAACAGAGUGAGAAGACUAGGUGCAGCAGUAAUCUCCUGAGAAAUCUUCAGAGGCCCAGUGAGAAGCGUGAACUAUUCCAGGCAUAGCUGACAGCCAGGCAGUGGUUGAGGUCAAAGGUCAAGCUGGUUGGGGC
ensembl:lncRNA